AUUGAACGCUGGCGGCAUGCCUUACACAUGCAAGUCGAACGGCAGCACGGGUGCUUGCACCUGGUGGCGAGUGGCGAACGGGUGAGUAAUACAUCGGAACAUGUCCUGAAGUGGGGGAUAGCCCGGCGAAAGCCGGAUUAAUACCGCAUACGAUCUACGGAUGAAAGCGGGGGACCUUCGGGCCUCGCGCUAUAGGGUUGGCCGAUGGCUGAUUAGCUAGUUGGUGGGGUAAAGGCCUACCAAGGCGACGAUCAGUAGCUGGUCUGAGAGGACGACCAGCCACACUGGGACUGAGACACGGCCCAGACUCCUACGGGAGGCAGCAGUGGGGAAUUUUGGACAAUGGGCGAAAGCCUGAUCCAGCAAUGCCGCGUGUGUGAAGAAGGCCUUCGGGUUGUAAAGCACUUUUGUCCGGAAAGAAAUCCUUGGCUCUAAUACAGUCGGGGGAUGACGGUACCGGAAGAAUAAGCACCGGCUAACUACGUG
rnacentral:rRNA from 1 species